AAAAAUUAUUAUUGCGAUUCAGCUAUCCUCAGUAUAGUGCUGUUUCAGAGCAUGGAUCAAUGGUUGUUAUAAAACUAUGUUGACUUUUUUCUUAAAACACUAGAUUCCUAAGACAGAGUUCAUCACCACCCAGCCAAACAACACACUUGAUUUUUCCUUACAUAGCAAAUAGGGUCUGUCAUUAACAUAUACAAUGAAGCUCAGUAGAAAUUUCCAAGAACUAACUUUAUGUUGAAGUAGAUUCUGAGAACCCAGGAAUCACUUCCAUAUUAAAAAAAGGAUUACAGCAGGGCAUUUUGAAUGAAGGUUGCAUGAUUAUACCAAAAAUUCCCUUCCACAUUAACUAAAUCCUUUAGAUAUACUUUCUAGAAAGGUAUCUUUGAAAUUCUCACAGUUGGAGAAAAAGCCUGUAGAUAGGGUGCACUAAAAUGAUGAGAUUCAAUGAAGUAACUGGCAAUUUAAAAUUUUUAAAUAUUUACAAUGUCAUGAAACCCAGAGAGAAGAUGGCAUCCACAAAGGGCAGUUUCAGUUGAGUGAUGAGGUUUGGAGGCAAAUGGGAAGAGGUUGAAAAGUGAGUGAAAGCAAAGGCAGAGAAAGUAGAAAUGACUUUUCAACAUCUUUUUUUGUUUGUUUUUUUUUUUGUUUUCCCUUGAUCAUGAAAGAGUGAAGAGGAAUGUGAAGUUAAGAACAGAUGAUUUUAUAAGGAUUGGAAAGACUUCAUAAAUUUGUAGGCAGCAGGAAAGGAACCAGUAGAAAGAGAAAUAUUAAGUACUAUGGAGAAGGUGAAUGGCAUUUCAAGGCAACCUAUUUGAGGAGAUGAGAGGAGAGGAGAUUAAAGUUACAUAUACAGAGGCUGGCCAUGGAAAAAAAGCCUACCCCUUUAAGACAAGAGUAAAAAUGAGAAUAUUGGAUGAUGUCAGGAGGUUAGAGAAGUGGAGAAGAGUUGGAACUCUUGGGAAAUUGCUUUUAUUUUCUCCAUUAAAGUAUGAGACAAGAUCCUUAGCUAAGUGGGGGGAAAGGGACAGGGUAGGAGAUAUUGGAUGGGAGAAGAAAACAUUUGGAUUGGUUUUUGUCAUUAUCCAAAAUCAUCAGAUCCAAAUUGUCUCCUCCCUUCCCUUCCAUCUCCCAUUCUGGAAAUGGUAAGCAAUUUUAUAUUGGUUAUACAUAUAUUAUCAUGCAAAACAUAUUUUCAUAUUUGUCAUUGUUAUAAGAAAAUACUAAUAAAAACCAAAACCAUAAAAUGAGAACA
rnacentral:lncRNA from 1 species